UGGGGAAUUUUGCACAAUGGGGGGAACCUUGAUGCAGCGACGCCGCGUGAGGGAUGGAGGCCUUCGGGUUGUGAACCUCUUUCGCUCGUGUGCAAGCCGCUAUUUGGGUAGUGGUGAGUGUAGCGGGUAAAGAAGCGCCGGCUAACUACGUGCCAGCAGCCGCGGUAAUACGUAGGGCGCGCGCGUUGUCCGGAUUUAUUGGGCGUAAAGGUCUUGUAGGCGGUUUGUCGCGCCUGUCGUGUAAUCCUCUGGCUUAACUGGGGUGUGCGGUGGGUACGGGCAGGCUUGAGUGCGGUAGGGGAGAUUGGAAUUCCUGGUGUAGCGGUGGGAUGCGCAGAUAUCAGGAGGAACACCGGUGGCGAAGGCGGGUCUCUGGGCCGUUACUGACGCUGAGGAGCGAAAGCGUGGGGAGCGAACAGG
rnacentral:rRNA from 1 species